GGAGAUGAAAGAAAGAAGGUUAGGGAAGGGAGAGUGAGAGGGAGGAGGGAGAGAUGAAAGAGAGGAGAGGCAGAGAGGAAAGGUAGAAAAGACAGAGAGAUUAUUUUCACUCUUCUGCUCAAAAUGUAAACACAUCAGAAGUUUAUUUCCCAGGAUCGGCUGACAGAAUAUUCCCAUUCAUACGUUUGUGUUUGGGAGAAUGUAAAGCUAGCUAGAGCGUAUGAAGCUUGGAACAUGCAUGCAGUCAGCACAGAUGUGUCUCUCUGCUGGUACCAAAAAGGUACAGGUAGGACGAGCCGCACGGUCUGACACAGGACAACAGGACUUAAAUGUGUCAAUACAAGGCCUACUGGCAAACUAUAGAACAAGUGCUGUCCUGCAUUAAAGAGUGAGAACUCUGAUACAAUCUAAUAUUAAAAACAUGAACAGAAUUGAUCCUGUCCUUAUAGGGGACACUUCAGUCGUAUGUUUUAAGUAGGGUAGGUAUUGCACAUAUUGAAUUGCUUCGAUCUUAUCAAGGACUGAAAAACGUCAUUCCAUACCAAAUUUCAGUACCUCAGCAGCCUCAGUACGCCAGUAAGAACACCACAGGCUGUCUAAUGGAAAGACCCAGUGUUAACACACAGAGACGGGGGUCACUGUUUAUCUUGUAGUGAACCUUGUGCUGCUUGUUAACGCAGCUAACCUGUAUCUGCUCGUCAGUGCGUCCGUACACAACAUCGUCCACCGGGAUGGAAGGCCAGGGCGCAUCCUCCCUUCACACCAGGGACAGCAAACAUGGUGUAGCAUACCGACGGGCCCUGAUGGAAGCCUAUUCAACCACUGUGUGAGUCCUGAUGGCUGAUGGUAUGGUGGAUUUUGCUCAGUGCAGCGUAGCUCUCGUCUCCCUGGUGACUGACGUGACCUCCUCUGCACCGGAGCUCACAGGCACAUUAACUACAGCUACGUUAAUCUGUUUCAGGGACCGGCCUCGCAGUGAAAUUUCCAUCACUUCGCUCGUGAAUCUUGAUGCUUGUCAAAGAUUUGUGUCGUGUUCUCGCGAUCUUCAUAAGCAUAGAGGUGUAUGACAGGAAAUAAAACAUGCUGAAGUCAAACCAGCAAGGCAUGCGCUGUAACCAAUCGACUACCAAGGUGCUCCGUAGAUUCACAUGCGGUACCAACAUGCGGUACCAACGUGCUACCAGUGGCAUUGCAUUCAUGUUGGCUUGGGAUACAUUUCCCCCUAAAUGCUGAUGAAACAAAUCAUUACUUUAAAAUCCCCUAAGUUGAUUUGCAUGUUAUUAGUCGAAUUGCUGCAGAAGAGACUCUUGAUGGUGCAUUAUGAUUGUAUAACUAACUAUGACGAUGAAGCUCCCUUUGUUGUUAUUUGACUGAGUGGAAAGGUGACGUUUUUCAUCACUUGAUGAUGGUGAUGAUGGAAGAAACUAGAACUUGAGCCUAAAAUGAGAUCUGACAUGAAGGCUGAUGUAGUAGUUUAGUGUGGGACGGCUGCUCUGCAGGUGAGCUGAGAUGACAAGUUAAGGUUUGCCAUUGCACAAAGGGGGUCCAAACUCCAGGGAUGGCAACCAAGAAGGGAUGCAGUCAUGCAUAAUAAGGACGUUCAUGCAGGGAGUUAAAAUGUAAGAAAAAAAAUACAAUAAAACAGCAUGUAAAAGAACUGUAUCAGAUCAAUAAUCAGGAUCUACAGAUAUGCCAAAGUUGAAUCGGUGCAUCAUUACAACAGUCUUAAAGUGGAAUGUGUCAGCUGUUUUAUGUGUGGAUGCCAGGAGGUGCAGUGAUGGCUUUGAGCCACCUGCUGUUUUUUUUUUUUUAAGGGAAUCAAUUUGGCAACCUUCAAAACACAAUGAGACCGAGUGCAGAGAGCACUUCACCCUGCUGAGCCUGAAAUUUGUUUCUUCGGCUUGAGAUUCUGAAUCAAAGAAAGAAACAAACUUACUUUUGAUGAUGAUGUACUGUCAGCGGUAACUUCCACUGACACACCAUCUGCACACCAGUCUUCACCACUGAUCACCCUGUCGAGGGACUUCCUCUCACUGAUAAAACAGCCAAUAAUCGAGGCAAACAACUUUUGUGUCGCAGCCCACACAGGUCUUAGUCAUGGCAGCCUAAUCUGCAAGUCAGAGUGCCUCCAUGUCCUUCUGUUGAAAAUACUGUCAUGAAUAUACAACUUCAUUUAAACCUCAAGGGGAAAUUAGUUAUGGACAGUCCCUCUCCACAUCUACACACAAAUCCUCAUAGACAAACAAUUCAGCACACAUGCCUGAUUUACUUUCACAGUAGCCUUAAAAGUCAAAACUUUAAAACAUUACAAUUUUAAUAACUGUAAACAAAUCUGAGAUUCAUUUGUAUUUUCAGUCAAACCUGUUACCGGAAGCCUUCUGUUUUACAUUUACAGUGACCUCCAACAUUGCUGCUGUAGGGGCUAUUUAAAUGCUAAGUGAAUGAAACUAAAAUAUUGUCUAUGAAAAUAUUAUAGCUAGGUCCUUUACCUUAGUCCUGCACAGCCAGACAUCCACGCUUUGUUUUAGCAUUGUGCCAGUGCUGAAUGAAGGUCUGGUUGAACCCAUUAUCAUUCUGAUACAGGCAGUAAAUCACACACAAUCACAAUCGUCUUUGGUGGCGCUAAGCCCAGGAUGCAGCAACGGUACUCUUUAAGACCAUGUCGGGGGCAACUUGUUCUGGUGGAACACUUGCAUAUGGGGAUGCAAGUCCUGGCAUGAGCAUACCUUUAUCCCCGCAAAAGAAAAGGUUGCAGUUGUGAGCUUAGCUCCAACCAAGUUAGGGUAAUAGUCAGCCAAUGGCGGGCUUAUACCGACAGCCUACUUCCUGUGAGUUCCAACACAUUUCGGCUUAUGGUAAAGCCGCAACAGGCCACAAGCCAAAAGGCAUAGGUCUAUUAUUAUAUACAAUAUUAAAGUUGUUCUAUAUACUACAAAUGUUGCUGCGGUUUUGAUCUAUGUUAGUAUCUACAACCCAUAUAAGUGCUACAAACACAAGCUAAAACAACUGGAGUUGACUGGUACAGUAUGAGACAAUCUAUGGUCUCUGCUAUAUCUAAAAUAAUUAUUUUUUUCCUGUGCAUUUAUAAUUGCUGUGACCUGUGCAAUGUUCCUGUACAAUCAGUCACAUCUGUAUAUAAAAAACUGUAUAUAGUGUACAUAUAAUUCAUUCUAUUUUUAUUAAAUCUUUU
rnacentral:lncRNA from 15 species